GUUUCUGCAGAGAAAGAUUGUCUUCUUCUUUCCACUUCGGGCAACUUGAAGCACACGGUGAAGUUUCUUCUGAGGCAUUUUGUCCGCUCACUUCUUGAACUCAAAGGCAAGACGAGGAAGGACCAAGUUUUCAAAAUAGAGUUGUUGCGGUCUGCUAAUUUGAAGCAGAAACGUCAAUGUUGACACCUAUAGACAAGGAUAAACACAGCCAUCACAGACUUGCGUCGAUACACAGCUUACUGUAGAACGUGAGCAGUCCUGUCUGAUGACGAAGCAGAGUAUGACCAGAAAUCAUGUGUACAUACGGCAGUCAGAGGGCAUUUCCUGUUGCCCGUUAGUCAAGUAAACCUACAGAGAUCUUCCUUCGCCAUCCAGUGUUUUAAGAAACCACUCCCUCAACUAAGGAGCUCAACGUGGCUGAGGUUGAAUGAAGAUAACGCAAAACUUCCUCAAGGAAAGACGCUGUACUUAAAUUCGGUUACGUAGGCAAGUCUUGUUUAUUGUGCUCCAAAGGAACAACUUUCCCCAAAAAGCUCUCGGGAACAGAUACCAAGAAAAAAACACCUUAUCAAAAUAGAUUUGAAUAAAUGCCAACUGCCUAAAAUUACUUGAUUCUUUUUCUACAACUCUGAGCACACUUCUUUCUGCAGACUUUAUUAUUAAUUGUUUGGGAUGAUUCCCAAAUUACAUACUCCCAUGUGACUGAAAGAGCGAGUCAUACAUGUAACAAAACCAUUCAAACCCAUCAGAGUAAAACUUUGGGGAAGUUAAAAACAAAAACCUAAUACAAAGUUCUGGCACGUAUUUGCUGUAAAAUGUCAGAUUUCUAAGCCACAUCAGACAUUGGCUUGAUGACCUAAUUAUAAAAAUAUAUGUUGGUGACAAAAAAUUCUUGGGAGUUCCCUUUACUUUAUAUUCAGAAAGUGAUAAAGGAAAUAUAAUAACUUGUAGCUCAUGGUGAGUAAUCCUCUGCAAGACACAAUGGGAUUCUUGUUGGCCUCUGCAUAUGUUAUGAAUAUUCAGUGAGGUCAGGCCAGACAGUAUUUUAACUUUGUUUCUUGUUCAUGUUGUGUAAUAAUUAAACAAAAUAUGAAGUUAACAUUCAGAAAUAAUUUAGAAAAAAGAAGUACCCUUUAUGUAGGCCUACUUAGUUAGGAUUUGGAGCAGACAUGUCUGGACUGUGUAAGGCAGUGGACACAUGUUGGUAAUUACUCAAAAUAAUUAUUAGCAUAAAA